CAGUAGCCGCGGUAAUACGUAGGUGGCAAGCGUUGUCCGGAAUUAUUGGGCGUAAAGGGCUCGCAGGCGGCUUCUUAAGUCUGAUGUGAAAGCCCCCGGCUCAACCGGGGAGGGUCAUUGGAAACUGGGAAACUUGAGUGCAGAAGAGGAGAGUGGAAUUCCACGUGUAGCGGUGAAAUGCGUAGAGAUGUGGAGGAACACCAGUGGCGAAGGCGACUCUCUGGUCUGUAACGGACGCUGAGGAGCGAAAGCGUGGGGAGCGAACAGGAUUAGAGACCCCCGUAGUCCCUGUCUCUUAUAC
rnacentral:rRNA from 1 species